rnacentral:rRNA from 1 species
UCCAGACUCCUACGGGAGGCAGCAGUGGGGAAUAUUGGGCAAUGGGCGCAAGCCUGACCCAGCAACGCCGCGUGAAGGAAGAAGGCUUUCGGGUUGUAAACUUCUUUUCUCAGGGACGAAGAAAGUGACGGUACCUGAGGAAUAAGCCACGGCUAACUACGUGCCAGCAGCCGCGGUAAUACGUAGGUGGCACGCGUUAUCCGGAUUUACUGGGUGUAAAGGGCGUGUAGGCGGGACUGCAAGUCAGAUGUGUAACACAUGGGCGCACCACAUGGCCUGCAUUUGAAAAUGUAGUUCUUGAGUGAUGGAGAGGCAGGCGGAAUUCCGUGUGUAGCGGUGA